rnacentral:rRNA from 1 species
CCUANGUGAGGCAGCAGUGGGGAAUUUUGGACAAUGGGCGAAAGCCUGAUCCAGCCAUGCCGCGUGAGUGAAGAAGGCCUUCGGGUUGUAAAGCUCUUUCAGCCGGAAAGAAAUCGUGCAACCUAAUACGUUGUAUGGAUGACGGUACCGGAAGAAGAAGCACCGGCUAACUACGUGCCAGCAGCCGCGGUAAUACGUAGGGUGCGAGCGUUAAUCGGAAUUACUGGGCGUAAAGCGUGCGCAGGCGGUUUUGUAAGACAGACGUGAAAUCCCCGGGCUUAACCUGGGAACUGCGUUUGUGACUGCAAGGCUAGAGUACGGCAGAGGGGGGUAGAAUUCCACGUGUAGCAGUGAAAUGCGUAGAUAUGUGGAGGAAUACCGAUGGCGAAGGCAGCCCCCUGGGUCGAUACUGACGCUCAUGCACGAAAGCGUGGGGAGCAAACAGGAUUAGAUACCCCGNUANUC